rnacentral:tRNA from 1 species
UUAACUAAAGCCAAAAAGAGGCUUUUCAUUGUUAAUGAAAUUAUUGGAAUAAACAUCCUAGUUAAA